rnacentral:rRNA from 1 species
UACAGAGGCCUCGAGCGUUAGGCGGAAUCACUGGGCUUAAAGCGUGUGUAGGCGGACUUCUAAGUACCUUGUGAAAUCCCACGGCUUACCCGUGGAACGGCUGGGUAUACUGGGAGUCUUGAGCCACCUAGGGGCGAGUGGAACAAAUGGUGGAGCGGUGAAAUGCGUAGAUAUCAUUUGGAACGCCAAUGGUGAAAACAACUCGCUGGGGGUGUGCUGGCGCUGAGACACGAAAGCCAGGGGAGCGAACGGG